AAAGGAAUUGACGGGGGCCCGCACAAGCAGUGGAGUAUGUGGUUUAAUUCGACGCUACGCGAAAAACCUUACCAGGUCUUGACAUCCAACUAACGAAGUAGAGAUACAUUAGGUGCCCUUCGGGGAAAGUUGAGACAGGUGGUGCAUGGUUGUCGUCAGCUCGUGUCGUGAGAUGUUGGGUUAAGUCCCGCAACGAGCGCAACCCUUAUUGUUAGUUGCUACGCAAGAGCACUCUAGCAAGACUGCCGUUGACAAAACGGAGGAAGGUGGGGAUGACGUCAAAUCAUCAUGCCCUUUAUGACCUGGGCUACACACGUACUACAAUGGCGGUUAACAAAGGGGAGCGAAGGAGCGAUCCGGAGCAAAUCUCAAAAAGCCGUCUCAGUUCAGAUUGCAGGCUGCAACUCGCCUGCAUGAAGUCGGAAUUGCUAGUAAUCGUGAAUCAGCAUGUCACGGUGAAUACGUUCCCGGGCCUUGUACACACCGCCCGU
rnacentral:rRNA from 1 species